UACGGAGGGUGCAAGCGUUAUCCGGAUUCACUGGGUUUAAAGGGUGCGUAGGCGGGCAGGUAAGUCCGUGGUGAAAUCUCUGAGCUUAACUCAGAAACUGCCAUGGAUACUAUUUGUCUUGAAUAUUGUGGAGGUAAGCGGAAUAUGUCAUGUAGCGGUGAAAUGCUUAGAUAUGACAUAGAACACCAAUUGCGAAGGCAGCUUGCUAAACAAAUAUUGACGCUGAGGCACGAAAGCGUGGGGAUCAAACAGG
rnacentral:rRNA from 1 species